UAAAAGCACCUACAAGCUGACAACUACUUAAGACACUACCCUGAGGGAAGGCUUGAAUGACCUAAUUUGAUGAAAAAAGGAGCAACUAACAGCCCAAGACAACCGGCAAACCCAACCCAUGUGGGUGGAGAGAAGAGAGGGGGAGCGUGGAUAUCUGGGCUGUGGGGCGUGUAAGUUUCACAGCAACUUAGUUUCAGUCACAUUACGUCUCAGGGACAGUGGUGCAGCCGGGUACGUGCUUCCGCUCAAGUUCACUCACAACACACUGUGAAAAGUGAAAGAAGGACCUUAUUUUGUGAUUGAGAAACCUGAUCUUGUCUUCUUAAAAAUUAUCUGAGCUGGAACAGUUUAAUUUCUUGACAUUCCUUGAAAUUAAGCUUGGAUAUAAUCCACUUAAGAGCUGAGGACUGGAAGACCAGAGAUCUUUAUCAGAGCCCUUGUAUCAAAAUCACACUUACUUUGGCUGGUGUGUUACUGAGUCUGCCUCAGACAAACAGCACUGAGGGCCCAGCUGUGGAAUCUCAAACAGCCCCUCAGCACAAAGAUCAAGUCCAAACGAGUCUAUGUCUUGGAUGACCAAUCAGACGAAUUCAUCAGGGGUAGAGAGACCUGAGGCGGUCACCGUCCCACUGCAGCUUGUUGGAGGGACAGGUGAAAAUGGGGAUGCUCCCUGUGGCUUCAACAGUCAAAAGUUUUCCAUCAGCAGAUGUCUGGAUUCCCUUAGCCAGCGCAUCACUUCCCUCUGGCCCUGCUGCAGGGACAGAGACCACAGGAGACUAGCCAUCUACAGUGUUGUUUGUGGACUGUCUUGUGUUGGGGCCACAGCUUUGAUCUUUUCUGUCAAGGCACGGGAGAGGAGAAGGGCUGACCCAGAGAGUGCACAGAUCUACUCGGACAAGGCCAGGAGUCGGGCUCUAGUGUCCAUUCUGCUUUGCCUGGCUCUUCCUUUUCUCAUCGCAGCUGUUGUGAUUUUUGCAUCGUACCUCCUCACUUUUGUAAACUGAGGCAGAAUUUGGGCUUUUGCUUCUCAUCUGUACACAAAAGGCAUAAACAAUGCUCUGCUGAAAUCGAAUUGAACAUCGAAUCUACUCGGUGGAAGCCCAUUGGCCAGCAUUAAAGGAUAUGACUAAUAUGACUAUUGAAUGUGAGCAUUAGUUACAAUUGGACACAAGCUCUUCACUGAUCACCAGCUUUGAGGAAAUGUAGCACUAUAUAGCCCUGCUCUAAAGGUUAGCUCACUCCAAGUCACUCUGGUUAAGAGCAUCGGCUAAAUUCAUAUAAUGAAUCCAAACCUUAUUUCACAGUACUGCAGGUGCAUUUCCACGAGACGCUGCCUAGACCAGUUUAUCAGCACCUCUGCCACUAAAGAAAUGAGAGGUCAAGUUCUGUUUUAUUUCCCUGUCCAUUGGCAAGGCGUAAGGCUUGUUUUUUGAGUGGUGCUUUAAAGUCAAGCUAAAGAAGGCCGAUGAGAUAAAAACAAUAGACAAAGGAAACAGAGUGGCAUUUGAGAUAAAUACUUUUAUUGGACAAACAGCGCAUGUUAAGAUACAAUUGCCCUGCUGGACGGACUGAGCUCAGAGUGCUACACUUUGCAAUCAACUCACAAAUCAUUCCUCUAAUUUUGGCACCAUGAAGACCAUUCUUAUGGACUGUGGCUGACCUGUUAUAGAACUGUAAUAACUAAGUGGGUCCCCCUCCAUUGUACUGUUACAAACAUGGGAAUGCCCAUCAGAGAGAAGCCCAGCCACUUGGCCAAAGGGGAUGUAAAUAGAAACUUGUUUGGGGCCUUCUAGCUCCAUAACGUGAUGUAGGCAUACAUUUACACAAAAAUACAAAAUCAUGUUUUGAAACUUUGCAUGGUUAGUUCUCAUGAGACAUUCUGGUCAGUCCGAACACCAUCCAAGACUGCUUUUAGCAUUGAUUCACACUGUUAAACAUUUCUAUUCUGUUACAUACCGUGUGAAUAUAAAAAUGUAUUUUUGUGCUUUCAAAACCUUCUUUUAUAUAUGUAAUUUGUACAUUGCAUGUUUUCAGUACUUCUCCAAUAAAAAAAGAUAAAACAG